UUCGUACUUUUCAAACAGUCCAUAUAAAGCAUGAUAGCAUAUUGUUUUAGGUCUUGAUCGUGUGAAUUAUGCUCGAUCGUUACCGACCCGUCUCCGAGAUAUGACUUCCCUUCCCGAACAUCACCCACAGGUGGCGAUGGAAUUUGAAAAUGAUAAUUUCACUGUACGUAAGACCAGCAAAUUUCUUUCUUAUUACACAAUUGAUCAGGCACAAAAACAGAAUAAUGCAAUUGUGAAGGGCG
rnacentral:lncRNA from 1 species